ACCGCUUUGAGUCAAGGAUAUUUGCAGCAACUUCUGUUGCUCAUACUUGAAUAAAAGAAGAUCAAUGCUAUUGCGCGACGCAAUCCUUGCCGUCCAUCGAUCUAUCACCUGGCUUGGACUGACCGACUGAGAACCACUCUCGCUGUAGCUUCUCGAAUCUCCCUGCUCAUUCCCCACCUCCACCGUUUUCACAUCUCCUAGCUCAUUCGUUCUCGUGUUGCCUGCUCGACACCGCUCCUCGGCGUGCCUCCUCCAUCUCCUCUCAGCCGGCAGCAGGAAUCGAGCGCUCCUCGCCUGUGAGCACACCUCGAUGAGGUGCGUGAUUCCUAUUCCCCUUGAGGCAGAGGGUGGGUUGGAGAACGCCUCAGCAAGGUACGUGAUUCCCGUUCCCCUUAGAGGCAGGGGGUGGCUUGGAGAGGGAGAAGCCAGCGGGCGAGAGAGCUCGGAGGAGUAGGAGGAAGCGAGGUGCCAAGGCCGCCAGAGGCAGAGAAGAGGAAGCGGCGGGGUAGGGCAUGGUGGUGGGCUGGUGGCGGAAGCUCCGAUAUGCUGACGAUUGGGAAGUGGCGCCGCCCAGAGCUAGGCGCGGCAAGUCCCGAUGAAGUUUCACCAUUCUCGCCAUUCAUUUCGUGCAGCCAUGCCCGCGGUUAGACAUGGGAUGUUGUGUGCUCUGCUUCGUCGAUAUCUUCUCUGAACCUCACAAAGAUGGCCGUCAGCCCUUUCCUCCUCUGUCAAGGUAAGAUACAUCAACAGGGACACACAGGUGUAUACAUAUACUCAUCGCUGCUUAGGGCUUCUAGUUCAAAUCUGCAGAUCCAGUCUACUGCUUACUUCACAUAUCUAUAAUAUACGCAGAUCUAGUGUUCAUUGUUGAUAUGUGUACUUUGCUGGAAAAGGAGAAGAGGAAAAAUAUACACAGAGAUAAAUAAUCAUAGCUAGAAUUCACAUUCACUCAGAAGGGUGAGCAGUCAGGAUGAAUUGUCCAGAAUUCCCCAGCAAGCAGUACACUGUAUAACUCCAGUGUUUCAGUACCAAGUUUAACAAUAUGGCAGUGAUAAAUCAUAAAGACUAAGCAAACUGAAGCCCGAGUCGCUGUUGAUAUCACAUAGUUUAAGUAGAAUAUCCCCUCCCUUCUGGCCAUUUCGUAGGUUGUCUGAUUUGUGAGAGCUCUGCAAAAAAUAGGAGGGGGAAUUUGGAAUUUCAGCCAAACAUGCAUUAGAGACAAAACGUAGUUGCUACUCCCUCCUUUUGGGCAAGGGGUUGAUGCCUUUGUAGGUUGUAACAUUUCCAACAAUCAAUAUAAUGGCCUAUAAUUACUCAAAUUUCAGAUAUGCGUAUGAAGGGCAGUCAUGUGUAACAUUCUGCUUUGGCGUUUGUCCGCUGACCCUCCAUUUGAUAGGUUAAACCCAGUAGCGUGUCUCUUUGGGUCAACUGGCAUUAUUGCUACUAUACUUAAUGUAUAACUCAAUGUAAAUCGAGUUAAAACUUUACUUAAAAUAUAUUUAUAUGUUCAACCAUUAGCAUGUUGCUACAAAUUAUCUUGACAGUAAUGCUUCGACAAAGCUCAUCUACGAUUUUCUCGUCUCUUUUUCUCCAAAUGAAAUGUAAGCAUCUGUUCUCAACUUAAAAACUCAAGAAGGUUAAAAUAAAAAUAUGUUACCACGCCAAACCUCUUUUGAAUAACUUUUUUGAUGAAAACUCUUUUGAAUAAUUUAUAGGCCUUAUUAAAGGAUAGAAAGAAGAAAAUAGCAUCAUUUCAGAUUUGCUAGAAAGAUCAUACCUCACAUCCAUAUGGUCUGAAAACAUUUAAGUUCCGUAUUUCUAAUAGAGCCGCUCUUCCACCAUAAUAAAACUAAUAAACAUCAUAAUGAUUCAUAAGUACCCGGCAGAAGGAAGCUAAAAAGAAAGAAAUAAAGAAGAAAAUACCAUCUAAAAAAAUCAUACCUUAGCUUCGUAUGGUCUGAAAGCUUUUAAUUUCUGUAUUUCUAAUAGCAUCAACCUUCCCCCAAAAACUGAUACCGAUUGUUAGAGUUCCUCUACACCAAAGAGGGGCACUACAACAUAAACAAACCAUUAAUAAUUAUGCCAACUAAUAAUACCUCUUUUACCAGAAUUUCUAAAUUCACGAAAGGAGAGUUACAAGAACCUAGAAGCAAACAGCAGCAAACAUUACAGUUUCUGUUUGCCUAGGUCAUGUGAUAAUUGUCAAUCCAAUAUCCAGUUUUUUCAUGGAAUUGCAACUGUAAAUCCAAUAUCCAGGGAUCCGCAGAAAAGGAAAACAAUCUAGUAAUCAAUGGCGAUUUAACAUAUUUUUGCCAGCCCCAAAAUUCCAUAUUGUUCUAUUUCUGGAGGCAAAUUCUGCUCCUGAUCUCCUCAUGAAAAGUAACCUCAACUCCGGAUCACAUUCAAGCUAAAUCAGUCUCUACGUUGUUCUAUCUAUUCUAGCGAACAAAAUGGAAGCAGAAACAACAAACAAGGCCAACUCACCUGCUGUUUACCUAGUGGGGUGCUGACUAUAGUGUGGUCGGAUGACUGCCUUAAGUUAUAAACCACCUCUCUAGUUAUGGAGGUCCCCCAAAAUACACAUGUCAACUUGAGCCAUUUUCUAAUGUAACCAAGCAACAUAAUCAAAAUUAGAUAAUCAGAAUUGGUUUAGAUUGGAUAACCCAAACCAAUGGCCUUUCCCAUCGUUUGACCUUUCUCUGAAAAGGAUAAUCUAUGUCCUCAUUAUCACUGGCGUGUACUAUCAUACAGCAAUUAGCUACAAUAAAUUGCAACAUCCCAUGACUUAUAGAACAAUGUAGUGGCUCCUGAAUAAUUAAAUUCACUUUUAGUUCUAGUUCUCAGGAAUUAUGCAUCAUUGUAGUGACUUUGCUUCUGAUAAGAAACAAAGAGGCAUACUAAAGCUACUAAGAAAUACCUACAUCCACCUUGGUGGUCUAUAAAGGACAUGGACAAGUGACAACGGUGAACCAGUGAUACAGGUUAAUCAGACCACUAUUGCUAGAAGUGUCACUGCGUUCAAAACAAUAAGGAAAUCUUAACUAAGAAGGAAGAUGUAUCAAUUGGAUAACACCAGUUCAACCUCCUUCUCAAAAAACAAAAACAAAAAUAGAUAACAUCAUCCAGUAUGAGAUCAUCAUCUAGCUAAUACACACAUGCAUCAAGCCCACAGCCCCACGCACCACACAUGCAGCAGCACAUAAGCCGUGCACGCGCACAACCUAGCAGGAGCCAGGGCCGUCGGCAAUCGGCAUAGGGGGCGAUUCUGGUAGUGACAGGACAACAGGGCUCACAGCCAAAAUAGCAAGGAGAAGACAGCCAUCGUGUACUCACCAUCGUACAGAUAACGUCGCGGAUCUACAGGAAGCUUGAGCGACUCCUUGUGAGGGCUUCGGCGCUGACCAGGCCGAGGUGACAUGGACGACAUGGGCUAGAGACGGCGGAUGCCGACGGUAGGCAUAAGGUCGACGCGGCUGCUGCAACCUCGAGGCAAGGACAUCGAUGGGGACGGCAUGCCGCUGCGACCCGAGUUCCGCCACCACUCCCUGUGACCGAGCGUGGGUGGAGGAGAGGCGUAGAGAGGGGAGGUGGGCGGGGAAGGGGUUGCGGCAGCAGGAGGCGGCGGUGGGGAGCGUUGUCUGUUUGGCGACAAAAAGAGAUUGCAAGGACCAUAUAUAGGGGAGAGGCAACCAGAUCUUUUUUCCUCGAGAGACAGCCGGAUCGAUCUAGCAUAUCCGGCAAAAGCGGCAACUGCGCACCGUGGCGAUCGUGGAAGGAACAAGAAGCGAACAGAUGAAACCGGAAAGCCCAGUCAAAGCGGCAGAGAUGACCAGAACGUGCAAAACGCUUCCCUAGUAAAAAAAAGCUCACGUACAGGAAUAGCCCAGUCACACGCGUCAAAUUAACAAGAGUGGUAAAAAAAAUUCCAGAAAAACCAGAAAAAUGGAACCCUUACGGGCCUAGUCUUCUAUAUAUAUAUUGAAAGCACCAUCCCAGACUCCACGUUAAUCCUAAUAAACUAAACAAAUUGUCCGUUUAAUCUUGACGUUAAUUAUCUAGAUCCGUCGGAUGAGGUACCUUAAGAGUCCUAGGUUGUAACCCCACGUGCACUUAUUUUAGGAAAAAAACAUCUCCCUAAUCCUGCCGCCGCACGCUCGAGGAAGGUAGCAUGACUUGCUGCGCCAGGAGUGGCUACCAGUUCCGGUUAUUAUGCAUCACCGUGAGGCAUACACCGCCGUUUGCUGCCGCUCCGUGUGUGACUAAGUGCGAAGGUGCCAGACUACAGAUUCCUUGAAGGGGCAUCGAGAUCUAGAAUCGAAAUUUUCUCCAGCUUUUACCGUCAACAUAUCUGCUGAAGGUUCUAGACGUACAAGAGGAUGGCAAAGAUUAUCUGGAAUUCUGGAUGCAGAAGACAAGCGGUACAUACUUCCACCGUGGCUGCUGCUAGGGUCGAUGCCAUAUUGCCGGAGAGUCAUAGUGACAGCUACCCAUCAACCAUCAUCCAUCUCUAUUAACAGCGAGUUCGAUCGGCAGAAAAAUCACACCUCCCGGAUCCUCCUCCGAUUGAUUCCUGCAAUAUCAAGGCAAGGGCGGAGAAGCGUCUGCUCCGUUGCCUUUGGCCUCUCCCAUGUGUCUACUAUUUAUGCAAGAACUGUCUGAUUGGCCUAGGAAGCAAUACCCCAGGCCUAGGAAGCAAUACCACAGGUGGCCCAGCGCUCUAUACAUCAUGGCCAUGGACGCAACUUGGAGUCCCGGACUGUUGUUCCACCACAAGAUCUGCUUCCGUCAAGUUCAAUAGGGU